GGCAGGUUAGCUCAGUUAGUUGAGCGUAGAACUAACAAUGCUAAGGUUGUGGGUUCAAUUCC
rnacentral:tRNA from 1 species